GAUUUCGUCCGUGUAGUAAUCUGGAUCUGAUUCUUGAAGAGAUAGCAUCAUUUCAAUCAUUGUGGUCUUCUUCAAUGGAGGUUUGUUCUUACUCAUUGCCUUCUGUUUCUCCUUUCUGUGUUCUUCUAUUAGAUUCUGAAUCAACUUAUCUCUUUUCUUCCGUAGAUUAAUGUAUCUCUUCUCGAUUUUUCUGCUAAUUCCAGUCCAUUUCAGUAUGGGUAAGUAAUCCACCAGAUUAUUUGCCCCAGCAAGUUUAAACGUUUCCGUAACGAUUUCCUGGAAAUUUAGAGAUUCCUCGGUGU
rnacentral:lncRNA from 1 species